GCCAAGCACAAUGUCAAAAACACAAGGGCUAAAGUCAUUGCAUUGUUUGCACUAGCGCAGGCCUGGAAACCAAGUCACUGCCGUAGGAGAAUAGCUGAGUGCAUGUGGGACAUCUCCACGCUGGGGUUCAGAGGAGCAGAAACCAGGAGGAACCCCGUGUCUUUCAUCUCUUCACCAGCAUCACACCGGUUUUGGAAGUCCAGUCCUAUGAAAUAGGACAGGCAGUCAGAGAUGUUUGGUCUGGAAGCCCUUGAGACUCAUGUUGGUAUCAACAGGAAACCUGGGGGAAAAAAGGAAAAUCAAAGAGGAAACCAAAAUACACACGACAAAGAAUAGGAAUUUGAGGUACAUUGCUUUUGGAAAAGAAAACUAAACUUUGAGGUCUAGUCCUGCCUUGAUACAGAGGUCAUGGACAUAAAGCCAGCAGCAGCUUCAGUGUCUGAGGAUACUACACAUCCCCACAGAGUGCUCCAUCUACUCCUCAUAUGUACAAAUGUGAAAAAGUGAGGAAUGCUAUUCUACAGCAAAAUGCCUCAGUCAUGUAAGUAAGAGAAAUACCGAGAGGGUCUUCUUUGAUUCUUUGCUCAAUCUUAUACAAGCCAAAAAGUGUUUACUAAAGGAAAGGUGCCACUCAGGAUAGUCUUCCUUUCCCGA